rnacentral:rRNA from 1 species
AUGGGCGUCGAAUCGGCGCAGCCAACCCCCGCCGCCACCGCCGAGCAGGCCCAGGAUCUCAUCGACGCCGCGAGGUACGACGAGCUGGAAGACGUCGUCGCCCUCUUCUCCGCCGGUGUCCCCCUCGACUCCGCAGAUUCGCAAGGCCGGACGGCUCUUCAUAUGGCUUCUGCCAAUGGGCAUCUUGCUGUGGUGGAGUACUUGAUUCAAAAUGGAGCGAAUGUUAACUCUACAAACUUGGAGAAGAACACGCCUCUCCACUGGGCAUGCCUCAAUGGACAUACAGAGGUAAUCAAGGCUUUGAUAUGUGCUGGGGCUAUCGUAAGUGUACUGAACAGCCAUGAGAAAACCCCUAUGGAUGAGGCACUGACUCUCGGAAAGAUGGAAGUGGUCGAUGCAAUCGGUGCAGCAGUAGCUCAAGCAGAGCUCAAUGGUGUUACUGUCUCCUAA